rnacentral:rRNA from 1 species
GACGGGGGGAUGCAAGUGUUAUCCGGAAUAAUUGGGCGUAAAGCGUCUGUAGGUGGUUUACCAAGUCUGUUGUUAAAAAUCAGGGCUUAACCCUGAUCCGGCAACAGAAACUAGUAGGCUGGAGUACGGUAGGGGCAGAGGGAAUUCUCGGUGUAGUGGUGAAAUACGUAGAUAUCGAGAAGAACACCAAUAGCGAAAGCACUCUGCUGGGCCGAAACUGACAUUGAGAGACGAAAAGCUAGGGGAGCGAAAGGG